rnacentral:rRNA from 1 species
GACGAACGCUGGCGGCGUGCUUAACACAUGCAAGUCGAACGGAAAGGCCCUGCUUUUGUGGGGUGCUCGAGUGGCGAACGGGUGAGUAACACGCGAGUAACCUGCCCUUGACUUUGGGAUAACUUCAGGAAACUGGGGCUAAUACCGGAUAGGAGCUCCUGCUGCAUGGUGGGGGUUGGAAAGUUUCGGCGGUUGGGGAUGGACUCGCGGCUUAUCAGCUUGUUGGUGGGGUGGUGGCUUACCAAGGCUUUGACGGGUAGCCGACCUGAGAGGGUGACCGGCCACAUUGGGACUGAGAUACGGCCCAGACUCCUACGGGAGGCAGCAGUGGGGAAUAUUGCACAAUGGGCGGAAGCCUGAUGCAGCAACGCCGCGUGCGGGAUGACGGCCUUCGGGUUGUAAACCGCUUUCGCCUGUGACGAAGCGUGAGUGACGGUAAUGGGUAAAGAAGCACCGGCUAACUACGUG